AUACGGAGGGUGCAAGCGUUACCCGGAAUCACUGGGCGUAAAGCGCGCGCAGGCGGGCUGAUAAGUUGGAUGUGAAAGCCUACGGCUCAACCGUAGAACUGCAUCCAAAACUGUCAGUCUAGAGUGUGGGAGAGGAAGAUGGAAUUAGUUGUGUAGGGGUAAAAUCCGUAGAGAUAACUAGGGAUACCAAAAGCGAAGGCAAUCUUCUGGAACACUACUGACGCUGAGGCGCGAAGGCGUGGGGAGCAAACAGGAUUAGAAACCCCAGUAGUCC
rnacentral:rRNA from 1 species